UAUAGCCGCGGGUGCCAAAUCGCUCCGCUCGGUUGUCGCAAUGAAAAUCUUCGAACUCCGUCGGACGAGUGUCGCGCGCGUGUCGUUGACACUGUUAGCUGUCGCAAUGUUGAUCCCGCGUUCUUUGCGAACGUUUUCCUGGCGUUCAGAGGACCAAGAAAAUGUCAACUGCGUUUCGUGGCGCUAGCGGACGGAACGUCGACGAUUCACGCGCGUCUCGCGUGCCUUGGAUCGAGAAUCUCGAGUGUAAAGCUAUGUCUCGAGAUCGGAAUUUCGGGCAAGACGCAUUUAAUACUAACGCGAUUUUAUUUAGGGUCUAUGUAGACCCACGCCUCACUCUUGUGACAUUCGUGGACGAAAUAUAUUCGCAAAAAAUGAGUUUCGCUAACAAAUACUGCCUUUGGAUAAUGGCUCCUUGUCAAUCAGGAGGUCGAUUUGAGCAAAUGAAAUUGAGCCUUUUCGUGGGGUCAGUUGACCUAAUGUGAAAUGGUUAGCGCUGCGCGUUUUCGUCACCUUGAUAGGGGAAGCUGAGCUUAGGUUGAGGAUAGCAUUAAGUUUUCGGAUUAGAUUCGUUUUUGAUCGAGACUUACGAACUCGACUAGACUCUCCACAAGACGUUUCAUACUCUUGCGUAACACGAAGUGCAACGGGCUACAGUUAUCGAUAUUUUCUCAAACACCAGUUUGGGUGGUCCUUCGAACACAAGGAAAGGGAACACAGUACAGAACUGUGUAAUACGCACGGUCCGCGCAGUACAUAGCACGUGGGCAUAGUGCUUCGUGGCCGAAACACCCACCCCUAUACCACCCUCAGUGGGUGGGAUUUCGAAUAUCUGAGAACUGGCCCACGAGGGAUGGGCAGGUGUUUGAUUGGAUGCACAAGGUCUCCACCUAUCUUGGAAUAUGUAUAAAAUCGCGGGGCAUAGGACUUUACAAGUUAGAAUAAGACAAGAACUCCAUAAGAACACCAGUAAGAACAUUGAAAAUUAAACUGUUAACACAUGUACAUAUUUGUAAUUAAAUUCAAGUGUUGUAAAUAGUAUUGAACCUUCUGUUUACUAAAUAAAACGGCUACACGAACAUAGUGGGAGCCUACACUGACCCUAAUAUCAACGAGGCGAGUGAUGCCCAAUUAUAGUGCUGGAAGAUGGUCUACGGAAGCACGACGACAAAAAUAUCGUGUUCAUCGAAAUAACGGACGAUAUCGACGAGAAAACGAGCGGAUGUCGAACGGACACGGAAAUCGUGACUUUCUGGGUUGGCUAUUUCGAGUCCAUGGACGAUAUUUUCGCUCCUCCGCGUCACGGGUUUGGCUUCCACGGAACGACGAAUCGACGAGAUUCGCGCGGCAAAUCGCGUCGGAACGGCCCGUCUCGCGGAUAUCCGUUCCGGAAGAUAAACAAACAAGGUGUUUCUGGAAAGUUUUAAUAAAAAUGCGUUAAAGUGAGUUCUACGUCCAGUCAACCAGUGUUUGGUAUUUCAGCGUCGAACCACAGCUGCCCUCGAGUUCGUUAAAACAGCAAAAAUUUCACUUCCGUUUAAUCAAUUUCUCUUCUGUUUGCUCAAAGAAGCAUUCGAAGUGAGCAGGCUGCGAAAGCUGACACACGAUGGGACCCCGCUGUUUGUUUCAACAACGCUUCGCUGUCCUACGCAUCAUAUGCAAGGGAAACCUCGGUUUUCCCUGCCAAGGUGACAACUACGAACAUUGCCUACCGGAGGGAGGAUUAGUCAAGCCAAUCCUCAUCGUCGUCACCUUGGCAAUUGGACGUUCCUGAAUGAGAGACGUACAGGACGUUCCAUGGAAAUGGACUCAGAAAGCGACGAGAAAUUUUCGUACUUACCUAAAACCACCAAUGAAUUACACUGUCGAGGAAGGUUAAUCUUAUUUGUACUUU